GGGAAGGGUCGGGAUAGCUCAGUGUAGAGAAGAGACUGCAAAUCUCUACCCCAUUUAUAUAAAUAAAA
rnacentral:tRNA from 1 species